rnacentral:lncRNA from 1 species
UUCUUGUAUCAAGGAAGGUGGUUCUUCAUUCAAUUCAUUAGAGAAUUUAGUCGAUUUUAUCCUUCAAAAAUAAAUCAUAAAGUGGGAAUUUGGGAUGUAACCAUGAUGAAUUAUUCUUUUGGCUUCAUAACUUGAGUUUUCGUUUUGUCUACUUGGUGAUAAUCCAUUCACGGAGAAACAAACAAAUAAUUCAGAAUGUUAAGAGUCAUUUUUACUUUUAAAAAUAUCAUCGGACAUAAACUAAGAAUACAAGUAACAAAGUCACAAAAAUAACUAGAUUUUAGCACCAAUCAAAAUAAGCAUUGAGAUAAAGUUGGUUCAUAUUAAAAUUUAUCAUGCUUAACUUCAAACAAUACACUACUAAAGUUGAUCUUAGUAAGAUUGUGAAUGGAGCAUGUUUCACGUAUAUCACUCCAAAACUUUAAUUAAGACUAUAUUCUUGACUCGAUAUGGGUUAUAUGAGUUAUCCUAAAAUAACUCCAAAACUUAGGUUAAUCAUUGGAAUACUUCAGACACGAUAGCUUAAAUUAUGUCCACGUUAUAUCCCUUACUUAAACAUUAAGAUGUGUGACAAAUACAUCAUCAAACUAGGUUUAUUCCUUCUUAAAAAAUUGAUAUCGGGUGACUAUGAAGUCUAUUUUUUUUCUUUUUAAGAUUUUUGCGAUAAACAGAAAGUAUAAAGAGUUGGCAUGUAAAGGGAAUUGACAAGUAGACAUCAAAUCCGACACAUGUAGGACACUUGUACAAUUUUCCCAUAUCAAACAAAUCUCAUUCUACACUAUAAAUUGACCUCUUGGUUUGAUCACCGUUUAAAGAAGAAGCCAUUACCAAAUCGUUGAAUUCAAAAACAAUGUCAUUGAUCCCAAGUUUUUUCAGCGGCCGACGAAGCAACGUGUUCGAUCCAUUCUCUCUAGAAAUAUGGGAUCCAAUAGAAGGGAUGCAAUUCCCUCAAACCUCCGGCGAAACAGCGGCAAU